rnacentral:sRNA from 1 species
UUCGGAAAAAAUAAGUGCUCAAGUGAAGUUCUGUCGUGAAACUGAAAUUAAUUGAAGAAAAGUUGUUUCUAAUAUAAAGUGCUAAAUUUUCACAUUAGUUGUUACACACACAUACCAUGUAUAUAUAUUGUUCAACGGCAAUGCAAAUGUGUGCAGAAACAGUUGGAAAGGCAAACCUGAGGAGCUAUAACAUGGCACGAAGGCUGAAAUAAUUGCUAGUACGGGUUUCUCAAGCAUUUCUGCUCUGAACAAAGAAAAUGAAAUCAGCUCCUCGUCGUCAUCUCAGCGUGGGCACGUCAGGCAUUUUCACAUAACGGCGAAAUGGGGCCACACAAAACCAGACUUGGCGGUGCGAAAACCCAACCAAGUUUUUCAUCUUUGGCUAGAAAGUUGCACUGUAGGCAGGCUGAGGCAGAUGCCAGGCGUUUGAAUUGCUAGCCGGAGUGUGCGGAGUGUGUGUGUUGUCCUGGACUUGAGGAGUUUGGAUAGGAAGCCAGGUAUAAAACGCAGCGAAGACAGCUUGUUCUCUUGUUAUACUUGGGCGUUGAAAGUUGAUACGCGAUCGAUAGAUGUUAUAACUCGAAUGCAAUGCGUGCGAAAGGGCAUUACAACAGCUGAAAUAUGCCGUUGGUGUGGCCCCGUUAGCCGUGUGGCGAGAGUAUAUCUGAACUCAGCGACCUGUGUGUGUCGCUACCUACACACAGGGGUACUAAACAUCGUUUUUAUCAGAUUGAUUGCGUGGAUUGAAUUUAUAGGAACCUGUAUCGACUUCUCUGCUCUACUAAGACUUGUUCAAAACAAAGGCGCACAAUUACCUAUACGUUUAUAUACGGCCUUCUAUUAUUUACCUAACAUCAUCGAACCGUUAUCAAUACCGAUCCAAACAGAUAUAAACACUACUGACAUCGAUCGAUAAAGAUAUAUAUCUCGUAUCUGGAGUAGCAACUGAACGAGCCAAUCGUUAGUUCGUUUUAUGCAGCACAAUUUACAAACUAUAUUCUUGUUAUUUACUUAUUUUUUUGUUGUAAACAUAAACAUUUGCUAGUACACGACAUGUGCGACUUAAGUUCUUAAAUACCUGAAACUGUUAAACAAAAAGAAAAAAAACAAAGAAAAUAUUCUGUUUUUGUACACAACCCAAGAUUUAAGAAAAUUUGUCCAUUUAUUGUUGUAAAUAUACUUGUCCAUACCAGUUAUAGAUAAUGAAUGAAGAAUAUAAGAAAAAAAGAAUGAGCUCAUCAAUACAGAAAAGAAGCUACAAACAAAAAAGAAUAAAAGAAAUCUAAGAAGACCAAUAAAUUUCGAAACAAUUGUUCGCCAUAUUUUUAUUUUAAGCUAAAAUUCUACACAAAUUUCAGUCUUAUCAUCGUACAAAUGGAGGAAGGGCCACUCUAAAUAUCCCAUACAGGUUUAUUUACACGAAAAUUAUGCGUAUAAAAGUCUAUGAAAUUUCUAAGGUUUGAAGUUAAGGUAAACAUCGACAACAUAUAUAUAUAUAUAUAUAUAUAAAAGAGACAUUCCCUAUAAAUAUGUUAAAAUUUUUCUCUAUACGCAUUGCUUGCGAUCAUAUAAGGGAAAUAUAUGCGAAUUUGAAAAUUAUAAAUUAAGCAGGGCUUUGGUAAAUGCUAAAAUAUGCGGUAAACUGCAAAAACGGUUAAAUAUUCAAAUUUGAGACACUUCAUCAAUGGCCGUAUUAAUACAAUUUUACAGACCCAACAUUACACAAUAUUCUACAAUUUAUUCCACUUUUCUGAUUUACUUAAGAAUUUAAGUUAAGUGUCUUCAAUUUGUCUUUAAUUUUUUUUUUUUAGUUGUCUUUACUAUCAAACUAUCUUAACUAAAUAUCAAACACAGCCUGAACACAUAAAAUUUACUUCAAAUACCAAGCGGAAACUAAACAACAAGGAUUAAACACUUCCAAUCCCCAAAAGCAAUUUUUCUUCCACAACUUAUCAACAUCGGAAGUUAACUUCAAUGACAAAAGUAUCCUUUAAUGGUCAGAAUUGUCCAGCAUAAAAUGGAACAUCCCAUCCGAUUAUCUGUUUACAUUUCAACCUGGAAAUUUCCAUCAAAGAAUUAGUACAUUUUCAAACUCGUCUCAAAUUGCACCAUCUGAAACAAUGGAAACUUCGUCAGCCCAGGCAUAAAUCUACCUCAAUGCACCACAUUCAAUUCAAGCAAAUACUUCUCAAAUAUUAAUGUGCCAACCAAGUAUACAUCCACAAAAUUCGUCUGCUUCUCAACUUCUCCAUCUACAAGCAUCUCAAUAUCGUCUACUUCCCCAACUGCUCCAUCUACAAGCAACUCAAUCUUUUACUUCCUCAACUGCUCCUCCAUCUACAAGCAACUCAACACAGCUGACACCUUUAAAAUUUAUCAGACACUAUUUUAAGUUCGAUUUUCAACAAUUUCAAAAUAUUUUUUCAACGUUCUUUGUCGUUCGACAAAUUUUUACUAUUUAUAUAUAUCUGAGCCGUGAUUACAACCAAAUAUUAAAUUAAAUUUGUCAAACACAUUACGAAACGUUCUACUGACACCACGUUGUCUUAAACAUCCUUAUAAAACUGCGUCCAAUACAAAUUAUAAAUUAUUAAGCAUACGAAAAAGUGAAAACAGAAAUUUCCCUGCGAUUACAAAAAGAGCGUAAAAACACACGAAAACUGCGAAGAAUUUAAGAAAGUGGAGUGUAUGGUUAAGAGUGUGAAAACAUAGAAAUUUCCCUAAUAGGUAGGUCAUACACAAACCCCGAUUACAACCCAAAUUUAAAACAUACAAGAGCGUAAAAACACACGAAAACUGCGAUGAAUUUAAGAAAGUGGAAUGUUUAGUUAAGAGUGUGAAAACAUAGAAAUUUCCCUAAUAGGUAGGACAUACACAAACUGCGAUGAAUUUGAGAGAAUGGAGUAUUCGGUUAAGAGUGUGAGGACAUAGAAAUUUCCUUUUUAGGUAGGACAUAAACAAACCCCGAUUACAACCCAAAUUUAAAACAUACAAGAGCGUAAAAACACACGAAAACUGCGAUGAAUUUAUGAAAGUGGAGUGUUUGGUUAAGAGUGUGAAGACAUAGAAAUUUCCCUAAUAGGUAGGACAUACACAAACUGCGAAGAAUUUGAAGAAAGUGGAGUGUUUGGUUAAGAGUGUGAAAACAUAGAAAUUUCCCUAAUAGGUAGGUCAUACACAAACCCCGAUUACAACCCAAAUUUAAAACAUACAAGAGCGUUAAAACGUACACGAAAACUGCGAUGAAUUUGAGAGAAUGGAGUGUUUGGUUAAGAGUGUGAAGACAGAAAUUUCCCUAAUAGGUAGGUCAUACACAAACCCCGAUUACAACCCAAAUUUAAAACCUACAAGAGCGUAAAAACACACGAAAACUGCUAUGAAUUUGAAGAAAGUGGAGUGUUUGGUUAAGAGUGUGAAAACAUAUAAAUUUCCCUAAUAGGUAGGACAUACACAAACUGCGAUGAAUUUGAGAGAAUGGAGUAUUCGGUUAAGAGUGUGAGGACAUAGAAAUUUCCUUUUUAGGUAGGACAUACACAAACUGCGAUGAAUUUGAGAGAAUGGAGUGUUUGGUUAAGAGUGUGAAGACAUAGAAAUUUCCCUAAUAGGUAGGACAUACACAAACUGCGAUUACAACCCAAAUUUAAAACAUACAAGAGCGUAAAAACACACUAAAGCUGCGAUGCAUUUGAAGAAAGUGGAGUGUUCGAUUAAGAGUGUGAAAACAUAGAAAUUUCCCUAAUAGGUAGGUCAUACACAAACCCCGAUUACAACCCAAAUUUAAAACCUACAAGAGCGUAAAAACACACGAAAACUGCUAUGAAUUUGAAGAAAGU